AACGUAGGAGACAAACGUUAUCCGGAGUUACUGGGCGUAAAGGGCGUGUAGGUGGUUGCGUAAGUCUGGCGUGAAAUAUCUCGGCUUAACCGAGGCAGGUCGUCGGAUACUGCGUAACUGGAGGACGGUAGAGGCGUGUGGAAUUCCGGGUGUAGUGGUGAAAUGCGUAGAGAUCCGGAGAAACACCAGUGGCGAAGGCGACACGCUGGGCCGUACCUGACACUGAUGCGCGACAGCAUGGGGAGCAAACAGG
rnacentral:rRNA from 1 species